AUCGCCUUUCAGGCUACCGUGCCCAAGACGAUGCGGAUCAAGUUGCAACCGCCGUAAGCGACUGAGCUUCCACCUCACAACGCCAUCCUGCCGGCUGCUGCCAUCACCCAGGUCAUGCUGAUUGCCAACCCUGCCAAAGACCACGUACGCCUGAAAUACAAGCUGAGCUACGCCAUCGAGGAGGAGAACCACACACAUUCCGGCGAAGUGGAUUGCCCCAUCGACACAGCCCCUGCUGCCACCUCAUGAUCACAACAGCCACCCGGCAAGAAGACCCGAGGACACCACCACCG